CGCCUGGGAACAGAAAACAGACUCAGGGCACAGGAGAAUUUCCCAGCAAAGUGUCACUGUGAGCUGCUCUUUCUGCAGCCCCUUGGCCCCGCUCUGAGAAUUACUGCCUGGGAUUGUGGAAGCCGACAGCUCUGCUCAAGCCACUGCCCUGCCAUGCUGGCACCAGGGCUCUCUGCUGAGGAGGGCAGAGCCCCAGCUGAGGCUCUCCUGAACCUGCCCCAGCCUGGCGUGCCCCGGGAGCAGGGGCAGCAGUUCCUGCUGUUUCUGGCAGGCCUCUGGGAGGGACCUUUGUGGGCACCUGCCUCCCCUUGAGAACACUCCUCAAGGACCUGUGGAAGAAACAAGUCACCUUUGACAGCUGGACAAGGCCCAGAGACUUCCUUAUGCAGCAUGAAACCUUCUGGGUCUCCCCGUAUCAUCUCCCUCUGGUGCUGCUGUAUGCACAAAGGCCACAGAUAGAUGCCAUCAGCAAAUUUGGACAGCUUGCCUGGAUUGCAGUUUUUCCUCUACUGACAGGCAUCUCUGGGACCUUCAGCCAGAGGAAGGAACUGUGAUCUGCUUGAAGGACUUGCCUCAGUCUUUGGGAAAAGAGCACGUGGUUCAUCUGAGACUUGAAGCACUGUCAAAACAAUGAAAAAAUGGACUGUUGUGUUUAUCCUUAUUAAUGUAACACUAAAGGAAGUCCCAUAC